rnacentral:lncRNA from 1 species
AGCAAAACUCGAUUCGACUUGAAAAAUAAAAAAAAAAUUUGCAUUUUGAGUUAAACGAAUCAAGUUAUUCGAGUCAACUUGAAAUUAUUUUUUUGAAUUUCGAUUUCGAAUCAAGUUUAAUUUUUGAAUUCGAAUAAUUUUAAUAAACCAAAUACCAAAAUUUUAUAUUUUAUAUUUUUACCCCAAACCCCUAAAAAUUUUACUUUCCCCCAAUACUUUUACUCCCUCACCCUUUUCCCCAAAAACUUUUACUCUCAUCCCACCCCCAUCUACCCCAAACCCAUUUCCCCCUCCCAAUUUUUUUUUUGAAUAUUUUCCCCCAAUUUACUUUCCCUUCAAAAUUUUACUCUCCAACCUUCAAAACUUUUUAUUUUCCCCCUAAACUUUUACUUUUCACCCUUUACCCCCAAAUAAAAAU